rnacentral:lncRNA from 1 species
AUCGAUCGAGAUUGGAUGAGAAAAUUUGAAGAAUUUAAACUAAGAUUAAUAAAAUUGAUAAAAUUGAGAUUUAACAAACUUAUAAUCUUAGAAGAAAAAGGCCUUGUCCAAACACUGAUAAGGAGAUUUCCUUCGCCUUUUUAGUAAUAGUAUCAAUAAAAAAAAAUUACAUCUCAAAACGUGAACAAAUGAAAUAUCUUUAAAGGAUGUUUCCAACUUCUAGAUUUCAGCUAACCAACACUAUGUUUGUUGAUGAAUUAGAUAUCUUGC